rnacentral:rRNA from 1 species
CGGAGGUGCAAGCGUUAUCCGGAUUCACUGGGUUUAAAGGGUGCGUAGGAGGGCAGGUAAGUCAGUGGUGAAAUCUCCAAGCUUAACUUGGAAACUGCCGUUGAUACUAUCUGUCUUGAAUACUGUGGAGGUGAGCGGAAUAUGUCAUGUAGCGGUGAAAUGCUUAGAUAUGACAUAGAACACCAAUUGCGAAGGCAGCUCACUACACAUAUAUUGACUCUGAGGCACGAAAGCGUGGGGAUCAAACAGGAUUAGAUACCCUGGUAGUCCACGCCCUAAACUAUGGAUACUCGACAUACGCGAUAAACUGUGUGUGUCUGAGCGAAAGCAUUAAGUAUCCCACCUGGGAAGUACGACCGCAAGGUUG